CACGCCGUAAACGAUGCAUACUCGGCAUAUGGAGUAUCGACCCUCUGUGUGUCUUAGCUAACGCGUUAAGUAUGCCGCCUGGGAAGUACGAGCGCAAGCUUAAAACUCAAAGGAAUAGACGGGGAUCCGCACAAGUGGUGGAGCAUGUGGUUUAAUUCGAUGAUAAGCGAGAAACCUCACCAGGGCUAGAAACUUAGCUGCAUGUUGUAGAAAUACAACAGCCUUCGAGGGUGCUAAGCAGGUGA
rnacentral:rRNA from 1 species